UACGAAGGGGGCUAGCGUUGUUCGGAUUUACUGGGCGUAAAGCGCGCGUAGGCGGAUUGGUCAGUUAGGGGUGAAAUCCUGGAGCUCAACUCCAGAACUGCCUUUAAUACUGCCAGUCUCGAGUCCGGAAGAGGUAAGUGGAACUCCUAGUGUAGAGGUGGAAUUCGUAGAUAUUAGGAAGAACACCAGUGGCGAAGGCGGCUUACUGGUCCGGUACUGACGCUGAGGUGCGAAAGCGUGGGGAGCAAACAGG
rnacentral:rRNA from 1 species